rnacentral:rRNA from 1 species
GAUGAACGCUGGCGGCGUGCCUACUACAUGAAAGUCGAGCGAAGAGGGGACGGGUGAGUAAAACGUGGCUAACCUCCUAUAAGACUGGGAUACCCUCGGGAAACCGGAGCUAAACCAGAUACUUAUAGAUGGAUCCGCGCUGCAUUAGCUGUCGGUUAAGGUAACGGCUUACCAAGGCAACGAUGCAUAGCCGACCUGAGAGGGUUAUCGGCCACAUUUGAACUGAGACACGGUCCAGACUCCUACGGGAGUCAGCAGUAGGGAAUCGUCCGCAAUGGGCGAAAGCCUGACGGAGCAGCGCCGCGUGAGGGAUGAAGGCUUUCGGAUCGUAAAACUCUUUAAUUAGGGAAGCGGUUCCUAACCAGAAAGCCACGGCUAACUACGUGCCAGCAGCCGCGGUAAUAC